GGAUUGGGUGCUGUCUGGAAGCAGGAGCCAUUCUAUUAACCCUGACUCAUUUUCAUCCCUCAGAGGUUAGAGGAACAAAGCAGGAGAAAGCUGUCUUGGCCUCAGCUCAAGUCUCCUGGAGAUCUUUCCUAACCAGCCUCUCUGCCAGUCCUUCUCCGACUUGGGCUGUCUUCAGCAGUGAUGGUGGGAACAGGAGACUCCCCUUGGCUCAGCAUAGACUCAACAAACCUAGAGCCCAGGAGGUAGCAAAGAGGACCCCUACCUUUGCCAAACAAAUAAUUCCACGUGCAGACCAGCAAAUGAGACGUGGUGGAAGCCCCAUGCCCAGGGAGCACCAAGAUCCUAAAAACGUUCAGGAAUUUUUUUACCUGAUGGUGAAAGAAAAAGAUCACUAGAAGAUUUGUUAAAGUCCGCCAGAUGGUUCAACUUCUGUGUUUGAUGAAUUAGGUCCCCCUCUCUUAUCAAAUGAAUAGGAGAAAGGACUAAUCCGCAGACAUUCUUCCCAGGCCUUCCUGUCCAUGAAGAGGCGCACAGAGGCUGAGAUUGCCUACCCGUCAUGUCCAAUGCACACUGUCGGCCUCAGAAGAUGGAGAGAAAACUGAGACAUUGUCCUUAAAAAGCUGCAAGACUUCUCUAUUCAAUUGAAUUUUGAAUCAAUGCUUAUGUUUUAAAAAGUUGGGUCAGCAGUUUUAGCUGGUAUGACCUCUUUGAUGUUCUGGAACCUCAGGAUUUUUUUAAGUCUCGUACUGUUUUACUGCCUGAAGCUAUUUGCAGGUCUAAUCAAUAUCUGUUAGUCAGGCUUAAGACCUUUGCUCAACUCAAAACAAUAAUUUUGGAGCUGGCUGAGAGGGUAAUGUGACUGUCUUGACCUAUGACCUGUAAGGAAAGGGCAGAAGUUUUCAUCCUUAUUUUCAGUUUACCAUCAUCAGCACCCAAACCCUCAUACACAUACUCAACCCCCUUCCCCUCUGAGGAUGGUGAAGACAGCCCUGCAAACAGAGCAACAGAGCACCCAAUGGUAAAUAGGAGUGGCGUCAACCAACAUUCCACAGUCUAGCGUAAAUGACCCCACGCUCAAGCCCAGCUCUUCCUCUCACACUCACUCCUGCCCAGUUCUCAGCAUGCCUUGCUCUGGGAAACCAGUAUGAUUCAACUCCUUUCCCACCUUAGGUGAUGAAGAAGGGGUGAGAAGUGGAGAACUUAAAGACAUGAUACCCACCUUUCCUUCUGGAUGCAUGGGAGAAAGCGCCUCUCAGAAAAGUUGUCUAAACCGUGUCUACAGGUGUAGUAAGAGGGAAGGGGGCUCCUAUCUCCCCACAGCUCAAGCGAGGGCUUAUUUAGAGGUAUCCUUCAGAAUGGUAGGAAACUUGGGUGACUGGAAGCUGGGCUCUUCCCAGAAUGCAGGACUAGAGUCCAGAGGUGACCUUCAGUUCUUGGCUGAGCUCAGCCAUUCACUAUUUGACUGGGAAAUGCUAUAUAAUCUCUGAGUUUCAAUUUCCUCAUCAAUAAAGUAGAAAUGAUAACAACUACCUCGCAGGUGGUUGAGGAUUAAAUGAGAGACUGUGUGUAAAACACUUGACACUUAGUGGGUGUUCAACAAAUGCCAUGUAGUUCUCACUGUCACCUCCAAGUCCUGAGGGAGAGGGGCCCUGAAGAGGCCUGAGAGGCAGGAUUCACUGAUAAAUAAG
ensembl:lncRNA